AUUUCUUCUUUCUCUGUCUCACGCUGAAAUUGGAAAAAACCAGUCUCAUUCUCACUGUACACGCAGAAACACACUUUCUCUUCUAUGAUUCCCUUCUUCAAACUUCUGUGACACACUGAAUCCCCUUUUUUCAAUUUGAAUUUGAAUUUUGAAUCUCUCACAUUUGGCUCCUUACUCUCUCUUAUCUUCCUUCUCCAUUAUUCAUAACCAUCUCUCUCUCUCUCUCUCUCUCUCUCUCUCUCUCUCUCUCUCUCUCUCUCUCUCACCUUUUCUACUUUCAGAAUCACACAUUUCUGCCAUUCCAGUUUCUUCUUCACAAGAAAAAAACCAUUUCAGUUUCACAAUCACCAAUAUCAAUGUAUAACCACUCUCUGAUGAUAUCGACGACGAAGAAGCACGCUAACGGCAAGAGAGGUAAGAUUUCUAAAUCCUUUUUGUCUUUGAAUUCAUGAUUUGUGUUCAUGUUCAAGCUAUUGAAAUCUUCAUCAGUUUGAAUAUUUUCAAGAUUUCUAUUUCAUCCACUUUUUGAUGUAAUCUGUGACUAGAAGAAUACGGAAGCAGCACACACUUCUGCGACGGAGGUAAGGAUUCAUCCAUGGCCAUUUUCGAAUUUUCAGAUUCAUUCUAUUUGUUUUUGCAAUGAAUAAUACAAUCUGAUAAUGUAGUCAAUAAAAUUGUUUUGGUGGUGCUGAAAGAUGUAAAAAUAAAAUAGUCAGGUUCUAUUAUAAUUAUGUUGAUUAUGGAUUUUUUUUAGAGAGUUUAGAGUGUGAUAGAAGGAUAGAUGAGGAUACGAUAUGUACUUUGUCGAUUUGGUUUAUCUUUAUCUGUUCAUUUAUUUUUGAAUCUAAUGAGUUUAAUAAAAAUUCAUCCAAACAAGCCGUGUCAAGUUCCUGGACUUUUCUUCCAUAGUGACACACAAAUCUAAAGAAGAACUCAAGGCGGAUCCUGAUUCUGAUAAGUGUUACAAUCUCACUCUAGGACCUUCUUUCAAAGAUGAAUCCUCUAACAAAUACUGCACUCUACGGUAUACUACAUUGGAUGAUAUAUAUGGUCAACUCAGGAAGAAAUAAUGAAGGAUCUCAUCAUUGAUAUUUAGCAUUGUUCUAAUUUGAGAUUAAGAUGAGUGAACAAGAACAUGCGAGACUAUUUACACCUCUUGGAUGUUGAUUCAUGUCUCGAGAAGAUCACAGGAGAUUGAGAAAUUGCAAUUUGCAACAGCCAAGGGUAAAUGGAAAGCAAAUGGUGGAGGAUCUAAGUAUUAAGAUCAUGUAACUAUCAAACCUUAGAAUCAUUCAAAACUUUUGUUUAAGUCUGUUUUUUUUAGGGCCAUAAUUUUUGUAUUAUUUUAUCUCUUUUGGAACUGUAUUUGGAUCAAUAAUAGUUGUUAACUUGAGAGCAUUGGAUAUUCAUCAAAAUAAUUGAAAUAAAAGAAUAA